rnacentral:lncRNA from 1 species
GACAGGCAGAGAUCACAAGCAGGCUGAGAGGCAGGCAGAGAGCGAAGAGGGGAAGCAGCCUCGCCACCGAGCAGAGAGCCCAACGCAGGGCUCGAUCCCAGGACCCUAAGAUCACGACCAGAGCCGAAGGCAGAGGUUUUAACCCACUGAGCCACCCAGGCGCCCCAUCUUCUAAGGUUUUUAGGUAUGAUAAUGGCUUCCUGGUGUUGUUAAUCCCUGGGAGCCUCACCUUUAGCUCCCUAACCCAGCUGCCACCUCUGAAGUCCCCCCACAGGGACCAUCUGGAGUGAAUUCUGUUUCUAGCCUGGAUCCUGACUGGAAGGAGCUGGCCGUGUGGAAAACCUCGCAAAGAGCAGCACAGGGAGAGGAAACAACGCGUGUGAAGGUUCUCGUGGGGACAAGAGCUUGAUGUGACUGAGAAUUAGGAGAAGGGCUGCUGUGUGUCUGAAAUCCUAGGGGAGGAAGUAGAGUGAGGUGACACUGGAGAGGUGACAGAGGCCAGACCAUAAGAACCUUGAGGCCAUCUAAGAAGGUUGGAUUCUAUAUCAUGCAUGAGCUUACCAGUUCUCACACUUACAAUAUAAAUAAGACAAAUUGCCUGCUAGUUCAAUAAGUUCCGUCUUUAGCCAGCAAGACAGAAGGCCAGGAUGGGUUAGGAAUUUUUGUGUCUCUCCAAAUGGAUGAGCUUUCUUGUAUUCUUUUCAAUGUUUUUUUGUUGUCAUUGUUGUUACUCUUUUCAUGAAAGACUUUGUUCAGAAUAUAUACCUAGAAUAA